UUAAUUAGGUCUGGCCUGCUCACUGACUUGUUUUAAAGAGCCGCGGUAUUUUGACCGUGCAAAGGUAGCAUAAUCAUUAGUCUCUUAAUUAGAGGCUGGAAUGAAUGGUUUGACGAGGAAUUGACUGUCUCUAUUUAAUAUCUAUAAUUUAACUUUUAAGUUAAAAGGCUUAAAUUUUUCUUUAGGACGAGAAGACCCUAUAGAGCUUAAUAUAUUAUUUUUAUAUGGUUUUUAGUUUAUUUUCCUAUAUUUAAUUUGAUAUAUUUUGUUGGGGUGACGUGAAGGAUAAUUAAACCCUUCAUUAUUAAAUCAUUGAUUUAUGUUAUUUUGAUCCAUAAUUUAUGAUCAUAAGAUUAAGUUACCUUAGGGAUAACAGCGUAAUUGUUUUAGAGAGCUCAAAUCGACAAAGCAGAUUGCGACCUCGAUGUUGGAUUAAGAAAAAUGCUAGGUGCAGUAGCUUAGUGAUUAGGUCUGGUCGACUUUAAAUUCUUACGUGAUCUGAAUUCAA
rnacentral:rRNA from 1 species